CUACGGGGCGCAGCAGUGAGGAAUAUUGCACAAUGGGGGGAACCCUGAUGCAGCAACGCCGCGUGGAGGAUGACGCAUUUCGGUGUGUAAACUCCUUUUAUAUGUCAAGAAAAUGACGGUAGCAUAUGAAUAAGCACCGGCUAACUCCGUGCCAGCAGCCGCGGUAAUACGGAGGGUGCAAGCGUUACUCGGAAUCACUGGGCGUAAAGGACGCGUAGGCGGGUUGGAAAGUCAGGUGUGAAAUCCUACAGCUUAACUGUAGAACGGCACUUGAAACUUCUAAUCUAGAGUAUGGGAGGGGGAGAUGGAAUUAGUGGUGUAGGGGUAAAAUCCGUAGAUAUCACUAGGAAUACCUAAAGCGAAGGCGAUCUCCUGGAACAUUACUGACGCUAAGGCGCGAAAGCGUGGGGAGCAAACAGGCUUAGAUACCGCGUAGUC
rnacentral:rRNA from 1 species